rnacentral:rRNA from 1 species
CUCGUAGGCGGUUUGUCGCGUCUGCUGUGAAAACCUAAGGCUCAACCUUGGGCUUGCAGUGGGUACGGGCAGACUAGAGUGCGGUAGGGGUGACUGGAAUUCCUGGUGUAGCGGUGGAAUGCGCAGAUAUCAGGAGGAACACCGAUGGCGAAGGCAGGUCACUGGGCCGCAACUGACGCUGAGGAGCGAAAGCAUGGGGAGCGAACA